rnacentral:rRNA from 1 species
AAACCAACAGGGAUUGCCUUAGUAACGGCGAGUGAAGCGGCAAAAGCUCAAAUUUGAAAGCUAGCACCUUCGGUGUUCGCGUUGUAAUUUGAAGAUAGUUUCCUUGAGUAGUCCUUUAUCUAUGUUCCUUGGAACAGGACGUCAUAGAGGGUGAGAACCCCGUAUGAUUUUGGAUACUACUCUUUGUGGGAUUCUAUCGAAGAGUCGAGUUGUUUGGGAAUGCAGCUCUAAGUGGGUGGUAAAUUCCAUCUAAAGCUAAAUAUUGGCGAGAGACCGAUAGCGAACAAGUACAGUGAUGGAAAGAUGAAAAGAACUCUGAAGAGAGAGUGAAAAAGUACGUGAAAUUGCUGAAAGGGAAGGGCUUGAGGCCAGACUUGGUGUUUAAUGAUUAUCAGUUCUUCUUGGACUGUGCACUCGUUUUUCACCGGGCCAAUAUCAGUUUUAGCGGUAGAGUACCCCUUGAAAUGUGGCUUCCUUCGGGGAGUGUUAUAGUCUUGGGGAGAUCUACUUGCUGGGACUGAGGACUGCGCUUCGGCAAGGAUAUUGGCGUAAUGACCUUAAGCCGC